AUUUACCAGCAUGCUGUAGCAUUUAUUCUCUAAAUUCAAACUUUCCCCACCAUUUUCUUUCACUCCGAUGGGAGUAAAAAUGGCACUUUCACCCCAGUAGUUUUCCUCUUAUGCUAGGCAGUUCCUGAUUUUUUUCUUCACAUAGAAGGGUGCAAUCUUCUCCAGACUUUGCUGUUUCUUGGAAUUGAAUGUCCCCAAAUCCUGCUUGGUCUCCGAUAAUAGAGGUUAAAUUCUUCUUCAACAACUGACAACAAUGCUCCUUUGCUUUACUUGAUCCAUCUUGUCCAUGGAAAUAACGACCAUUUUUUUUUCUAUUUUCUUCUUCUUCUCUAUUCUUUCAGUGACAUCAGAAUUUCCAUUAAGGCACUGAAUUUAUCGUUCUUCGCUAUGGAAGGUGCCGUAAGUGUUGCUCAUUUUGCGAUACCUGGUGAGCACCUUGAGACCAAAGUCACAGAGGCAAGCAACAUUACCCACGCCACACUGCCACAGAUACCCGUUUUAUAGGGUGGGCCACAUUCACACAUCACACAAUAGAGAACACACAAAGAGAAACAUCCAUGCCCUGAGCGGGAUUCGGCUUUGUGGUCAGACACACUGACCAAGUAUCGAACCAGAUUUUCUGUCCAGAUUCUUCCAUAUUUGAUUUCUGUAAGUUUAGUGCUCUGGUUUAUGAGUAACACCUCAUUUUGGCAGACUCUGGGAAUUCAAAAUUAAAUCAACCAAGAGACACCUGCUGAAAGUAUCCAACUCAGCUGUACUGAAUUUUGAAGAAUUGGCUAUGCUCUUGUGCCAAAUUAAGACUUGUCUUAAUUUCAGAUUAUU